rnacentral:rRNA from 1 species
GAGUUUGAUCCUGGCUCAGAACUAACGCUGGCGGCGUGCCUAACACAUGCAAGUCGUACGAGAAAGUUGGCUUCGGCCGAUGAGUAAAGUGGCGCACGGGUGAGUAACGCGUGGAUAAUCUACCCCUCAGUUGGGAAUAACUCAUCGAAAGGUGGGCUAAUACCGAAUAAUACUGCAUAACUACUGUUGCGUAGUCAAAGAUGGCCUCUGCUUGCAAGCUAUUGCUGAAGGAUGAGUCCGCGUACCAUUAGCUAGUUGGUAGGGUAAUGGCCUACCAAGGCAACGAUGGUUAGCUGGUCUGAGAGGAUGAUCAGCCACACUGGAACUGAGACACGGUCCAGACUCCUACGGGAGGCAGCAGUGAGGAAUAUUGCGCAAUGGGGGCAACCCUGACGCAGCAACGCCGCGUGAGUGAGGAAGGUUUUCGGACCGUAAAGCUCUGUCGAGCGGGAAGAAGUGCAUAAUGGCUAAUAUCCAUUAUGCUUGACGGUACCGCUAAAGGAAGCACCGGCUAACUCCGUGCCAGCAGCCGCGGUAAUACGGGGGGUGCGAGCGUUGUUCGGAAUCAUUGGGCGUAAAGAGCGUGUAGGCGGCUGGAUAAGUCAGAUGUGAAAGCCCUGGGCUUAACCUAGGAAGUGCAUUUGAAACUGUUCAGCUUGAGUAAGGGAGAGGAAAGUGGAAUUCCUGGUGUAGAAGUGAAAUUCGUAGAUAUCAGGAGGAACACCGGUGGCGAAGGCGACUUUCUGGCCCUAUACUGACGCUGAGACGCGAGAGCGUGGGUAGCAAACAGGAUUAGAUACCCUGGUAGUCCACGCUGUAAACGAUGUUCACUAGGUGUUGGGGGUAUUGACCCUCUCAGUGCCGCAGCUAACGCAUUAAGUGAACCGCCUGGGGAGUACGGUCGCAAGAUUAAAACUCAAAGGAAUUGAC